rnacentral:misc_RNA from 1 species
AUACACCCUACCCCACCCAACCCUUCUUCACUCUUCCCCUAUCGAUUCCUCCUUUGAAGUUCUCUCUGAGAAUCCGUUCGGUUGGUACCAAUCCGUACACAACAGCUGGCCCGUAUCUAUGGAGGAAUUUCGAAUUUUCUCAAGAUUCACGAGCAGAAUUUUUCAUCAAAAGAAAGGACUUUUUUCAGAUUGCCACUCCAAGUUUAAGAAUUUUUAGAAGAGCCUUUUCUUCUUCGUCUGUUUCUAGCUUCUGAAGUUUCACUGUCAAGCUGGUCGUUCCUAGUGGUUCCUCCAUAAAAAGG